rnacentral:rRNA from 1 species
GACGAACCACACAAACGUUAUUCGGAAUUACUGGGCUUAAAGGGUGCGUAGGCUGCGCAGAAAGUUGGGUGUGAAAUCCCUCGGCUCAACCGAGAACUGCGUCCAAAACUACUGUGCUCGAGGGAGACAGAGGUGAGCGGAACUUGAGGGUGGAGCGGUGAAAUGCGUUGAUAUCCUAAGGAACACCCGUGGCGAAAGCGG